AGAGGCCACAAGGGCGCUGUUUUAAAUGGACUCAUUAAGGUUCAUUAAUAAUGUUGCUAGGACCCCGGCUUGCUCUUACAGGACCUUUGGCAAACUGACAAGUGGCCUUUCUUCCACACGCAUUACUGCUGCCUGUUGAAAAACGACUGCAACAAAUACUACUGCAUGGUGCCUAUUAUGAGGUCCUGUCGACCCCAGCAUCCUCCAGCCACUCACCAUGGUGCAGCGACAGCACGGCUUCCCGAGAAGAAUUCCACCCGCUGCCCGGCUCUCCUGCGCCCUCGAACAAUAAAUACUUCCUCCCCGGGGUUAAAAAUAACCUCAUGACCACUUUUGGCAGUAAUAGGUGAGGCAGACACCACCUAAGGCCCCCCCACCCCAUGCCGUUCUUCUGAAGUAAGGGUUGCUUGCUGGCUGCCAUCACCGCCCAGUGACACGUGAGACCCAAAAAUGCAUUCAAGGUUAAAGAGGCACAGCUGGGUCACAGUCAAGGGGAGAGAUGCUGUGUGCUCUCUGCCACUCGUGGGCGGGCGACACUUGUGCUUGUCAAUUUGGGGAAAGAAAAAGGAAGAGGAGAUCUCGAGCCUUCUGUGACACUAUCAGGCACGGGCAGCCCCAGGGCCUUUGCGCCUAUGGUCUGCUGUACCAGGCACACCUGUCGGGCAUCACCCUGGCUCCCUCCUUCCAUCUUUGCUUGAAUGUCACUCCCAUCUCCCUUCUCUGCUUUGUUUUCCUCCACAGCUUCUAUGGGUCCCCAGCAUCUGGUGCAACUCGCUAAUUAUUUUAUUGGGUCCCCUUCUGGUCUCCUCCAGUUCCUGCCUCCUGCCUGGUGCCCAGCUGCUGCUCAGCAACAGAUGUCUGUUGACUAAAGAAAUGGCAACUCUACGUGCUGCGACCACGUGCUUUCCCUGUGCCAGGCUCGUAGGAAAGCAUCCAACCCCCUGUGGGCUGGGGACCACCGGAUCAUCUGUGUCCCCAUUUUACAGAUGUGGAAACUGAGGCUCAGAGAGGCAAAGCGCAAGUGUAUGAAAAUAAGCCAGUACACGGCCCAGGCCGAGCUGCGCAGGAGACGCCGCGCAGGGAGGAGCUGGUCGUGCACGGUGAUGACCAAGCGGAGGUGCUCCAGCUGGGGUCCAGGCGUCGCCCUGAGCGACUAAAAAAUAAAAUAAACAAUG